CCAGACUCCUACGGGAGGCAGCAGUGAGGAAUAUUGGUCAAUGGGCGGAAGCCUGAACCAGCCAAGUCGCGUGAGUGAAUAAGGCCCUACGGGUCGUAAACCUCUUUUGCCGGGGAGCAAGGGCGGGGACGUGUCCCGGCCCGGAGAGUACCCGGACAAAAAGCAUCGGCUAACUCCGUGCCAGCAGCCGCGGUAAUACGUAGGGAGCAAGCGUUGUCCGGAAUUACUGGGUGUAAAGGGAGCGUAGGCGGGAUAGUAAGUUGAUUGUUAAAACUAUCGGCUCAACUGGUAGAUGCGAUCAAAACUGCAAUUCUUGAGUGAAGUAGAGGCAGGCGGAAUUCCUAGUGUAGCGGUGAAAUGCGUAGAUAUUAGGAGGAACACCAGUGGCGAAGGCGGCCUGCUGGGCUUUAACUGACGCUGAGGCUCGAAAGUGUGGGUAGCAAACAGGAUUAGAUACCCCAGUA
rnacentral:rRNA from 1 species